GGGAUUGUGGCUCAGCGGUAGAGCACUCGCCUAGCACAUGUGAAACUCUGGGUUCAAUCCUCAGCACCA
rnacentral:tRNA from 1 species